UGGCUUGAUGAAGAUGAUCUCGUGUCUUAUAUUCUUACCAGACUAGAUGCUGAAUAUAAUCCGCUUAUUGAGGUAGUGAGUGCAAGAACUGACCCUAUCAUUUUGGGUGACCUUUAUGCUCAACGCUUAUCUAUUGAGG